rnacentral:lncRNA from 1 species
GAUCAUCUACACAAAAAGGAAAGGAAAAACUCUGAAGCCCUUGCCUCGAUUAAGAAACCCAAAUCAAUUGAAACCUUAAUGCAAAACCCAUUAUCGAUCUAGGAAUGUCUCUCUCUCUCUUUUAGAUCGUUCAGGUGAGGCACGACUUUUGAGUUCCAAUUUCCAUGACACUCAACUCAACUCGUGAAGCAGAAACAAAAAAAGAGAAGAAUUUUGUUGCUUUCGUGUCCUCACUUGAUUCCGGGAUUUCGCAAAUUUGGGAUUUUU